rnacentral:lncRNA from 10 species
GUGGAGAGGAGAAGUGGGUGGCUCAGCUGGGGCGGGGCGGGAGGAUGGAAAUGGAGAAGACUCGGCCAGCGGCCAAAUAGAGCCAGGCUGGGGGGUUCUACACUGCCUCUCCACGUGUGUUCACUGCUCGCCCUGGCGUCGUGCAAGGGGUGUGUAUGUACGCACGUGUGUGUGCGUGUACAUGCAGAGUGAGGCCUGGGGUAGCGUGGGGGAACCAAGAGACCCAGAGAAGAUUCGGGGAGCAGCGACCCCAUUGGCAUCUUUGGAAUAAACAUCCCUUUGGAGAGGCUCUAAACCCUGGAGAGUGCGGGCGGGAGACACAAUGUUCAGGAGGUGCUAGAUGGAGGGAAAAACACCAGGAUGGGGCAUGGUCUCUGUCCUAAAGGGAUUGAAGGCUCACCUUUGGAUACCACUGAAGAUGCGACAAGCAUAGGACUGCACCAAAAGAUGACACAUGUGCCCACUGCACCCCACUCCACUCAAACCUACAGGAUCAAGAGGAAGGGUCCUUGGGAAGGGGCCAAGAUAGGGGCUCUGGCCAGGCCUGGACUCUCUGCAUGACCCGGGGUGAUGCUGGUUCACCCUGAAGUUUGAGAACUACCGCACUGGAGCUGCGCUACCCAUUACUAUAGCCACCAGCCCCACGCGGCAUGAACCCUUGCAGUGUGGCUAGUCCGAACUUGAGAUGUGCUGUAAGUGUAAAACACACAUCAGAUUUCCAAGACUUAGAAAAAAAGAAUAUAAAAUAAUUCAUCAGUAAUCUUUUAUGUUGAUUUCAUGUGGGAAUGCUCAUCUUUUAGAUAUA